UACGAAGGGGGCUAGCGUUGCUCGGAAUGACUGGGCGUAAAGGGCGCGUAGGCGGUUUGUACAGUCAGGUGUGAAAUUCCCGGGCUCAACCUGGGGGCUGCACUUGAUACGUAUGGACUGGAGUGGGGAAGAGGGUCGUGGAAUUCCCAGUGUAGAGGUGAAAUUCGUAGAUAUUGGGAAGAACACCGGUGGCGAAGGCGGCCAACUGGACGAACUUGACGCUGAGACACGAAAGCGUGGGUAGCAAACAGG
rnacentral:rRNA from 1 species